UACAGAGGUCUCAAGCGUUGUUCGGAUUCAUUGGGCGUAAAGGGUGUGUAGGUGGCGCGCUAAGUCGGGUGUGAAAUUUCGGAGCUUAACUCCGGAACUGCAUUCGAUACUGGCGUGCUUGAGGACUGGAGAGGAGACUGGAAUUCAUGGUGUAGCAGUGAAAUGCGUAGAGAUCAUGAGGAAGACCAGUGGCGAAGGCGGGUCUCUGGACAGUUCCUGACGCUGAGGAGCGAAAGCGUGGGGAGCGAACAGG
rnacentral:rRNA from 1 species